CUGACAUGUACUGAGGUCGUUGCACUUGGUAAAGAAACUGCAGCCAAGAGCUAGGAAGGCCGCUGUGCCUGCUGUUCCCAGGAGCUCAGGCUUCCAGCGUCACCAAGGACACCCAAAGCCUUCACCUCUGCGUCUGCCGGACAAACGAGCAAGCUGACCAGCCCCCACCCGACACGAAGGGCCUGGGCUCACCUGCAGUGGAAGGAGAGUCUUCAACCAGACCCACCUUCACCACCUGCGAGGAAGGAGAUACCGCGUUAGGUCCGCCCCCGAGCUGGACGUGGUCGGAAGCAGCAGGGAACAGGGUCGGGCACAGCAGCGGCUACUGCGAGUUAUUCACAGGCUUUCAGAAUCUUGGCAAAUCCAGAGGAGCCCAGAGAAGUGGAAAAACCUUUGCAGCUUUCAAGGGGGCAAAGCCACCUUGAAUGAAGGCACGAAACAUGUUCGUAUCCUGAUGUCACUUCCUGUACGCGACAGGCAGGAGGCCAGCAGGCCCCGUCCUCCUGUCCUGGGCAGACAAGUGCCCCCGAGAGCGAGGUGAGACAGGUGGCGCGGGCGGGGCUCCCCGGGCAAGGCCUGCCUGCUGCUCCGUGAGUACAGCAUCCAGGGCGACACCGGC